UUCCCUCAGGAAUCAAUUUUUUGAAAAUAUAUUUAAGCUGCUCUGAGGUCUUACCCAUUAUCAGUGUUAGGUACCAUAUUUCCAUUUUCCUUAUCUUCAGUCCUCUGGCAUUUAACAUCUUUAAGCAGUAGUCUAUUUCUAAUGUAGGCAUUUAAGGUGCUAUAUGAGAUCAGAAGGGAAGAUAUUUAGAGAGCAGGAGAACAUUCUGUUGCCCCCAGCAGUGUAGAUGCAGUGUAGACACUAUCUCCAUAGAGGACUGGCUUUGUUUGCCUUAGAGACCUUUUUGAAACUUAUUUUGGUUGUAGAGCAUUCCUUCCGUUUUUAUGCAGAACAUCUAUAAAUUCUGAUGUCAAACAUUCAUCGAAGAAAGAAUUAUUCCAUUUGCUCCAUUUUUGUGUCCUGACCCGCAUCCCCCUUCUGAUGAACAGUGGCCUCAAUUAUUUCCCUACAGCAAUAUGAGUGAAUUUUGCAAAAUUUUUCCUUCUAAGGAUCCUGGAUGAAAUUCCAAGGAUAUGGCAUCAGAGUACAACUCAGUAAACACAAUUUUGUUGCAGAUCGUAAAGAUAACGUGGUUCAAUCAGUUUUCUGAUCCAAGAAUAAUAUAUAAAAUUUAUUUGCCGUCCCUAGGAAAGAUGGCUGAUCUCUUGAGCCAACUCCAAGUAAAUUUGAGUGGUUAUUUCUGUGCCGUAUUGGAGACUGCAAAGCCUUUCACGUACUCUGUUGGAAAGAGGGCCAUGAGCUAGUAGCAAGGUCUUCACAAGAGGAGGACCAGUUUUAUUUGCCCUCCUGGACCUCAUUGAUGGGAUCGACUCCAUGGCUACCCAAGAUCACCAUUUAAUCAUCAGUAAAGACAUUCUAAAACACACACACACAUACACACACACACACACACACACACACGAUGACAGAAAUUCACUACUCCUUUAGGAGUCUUUCAGAUAGAAUUUUAUGUUCCAUUCGACCUUUUGUUUGAGAUCCAGAAAUUCCUGAACAUAAAAAUGUAGUGAAGCAGCUCAAGCUGCUUGUCAAAUUGCAAAGUGGAAACCUCAGCUUACUACAAAUUGGUCUAAUUAAGCCUUAUUAAAAUUGGUACCCUGGGGUGAAUUUUUAUCCCCUGCACAAAGGAUGACAUUGCAGAUUUCCACACACUAUGCAAGCAAGUGUGAUGCCUUUAUGGGUGAAUUUUCCAAAUGGGGGUGGCAAAUGUGUCAGGGACAGCAUCCCUGAAGCACAUGGGAAUGUAUAACUGCUCAGUAAUUGCAGUUUUCAUUUGGGCAAAUUAAAUGGAAGUGAAACAAAAGCCAAGUCCUGUCUCUGCAGUGUCUGUGCAAGCCAGACUCAGGCUGGGGACCGGGGCCAGGCUGUCAGAGGUGCUCCAGGGAACACAGCUGAUCAUUCUCUCCACCACCUCCCACUGUCCCUCAUCUCACUUGGUCUUCUCCUUCCCUGAAAGCUCAGGGGGGAUCUUAAUGGAGGGAAGAGAAUCCCAUCAGACAAGGUCCCUCUGCAGAGGUGGCUGCACUGACUUUUUCCGACAAGCUUUCAUUCUAAUGUGACUGCUCAUCUGCUGUGAGGACACAGUAUCUGCUGGAGCUAGACCUAAGAGAGCAAGCAUGGGGAGCUGUCAUCACAAGACAGGACACGCCACUGUCUGCUCCUUCCACAGAGCCCCACUUCGUUGUCUUCUUCAGCUGCUCUUCAGGGCCAGGAACAGAGUCACCCACCGUGGGGACAGCGAGAGAUGGAGACUCGUCAUAGCGGGGAGUCCGUGAACAUGGGGCACUACACCCGACACAGGACCACUGCAAACAAGUAGCCUCAUCUCUUCUGCACACUGUGUUCUCAACCCCAGGCUCAAGCCAUCCAGCUGCCUCCUCACCACCUCCACUUUUGCUUCCUGUGUGGGCUGCUACCCAGCCCCUGAGAGGAGUCACAGCACAUACUUCAUCCACUUUCAUCGCUGUUCACUGUCAUACCAGCAACUCUGUCAUCGUCAAGAUUGCAAGUCUGCAUCAGUUAGUCUACGCCUAUAAACUGCAUUGGAAAAUUCACCAUCAAGAACCCGCAGUGGGAGAAAGAAAUGAAACAAAAUGGAAUUUAGGUUCCAGCCUGCUGUUUGUAAUAAACUCUGAAAUGUGUGCCGAGCAGAUGCUGCUUACACAAGAAACACCACGGCAUGAAGUACAAUCGUACUGCUGUGGCCUGAUGGGGCAGGUGAGUCCAUUAAAUGACACAAUCUGCUUCUCUCUUCCACAUCAGCCCUCGGAUCCUGGUUUCAGGAGAGUCCACCAGAGCCUUCUCUCCAGACGAGAUUUUCCUCUCAUCCCUGGUUAAAGGGAGAGAGAAAGGUGAGGGCAUCUGCCCUGUCUACCAACUCUGCAGCCCGACUCUGAGCAGAAGGCCCUGUGCUUCUGAUCAAGUCACAUUAGGUAGGCGCAAGCCUUUUGUAACCCGUAACUCUCAGACACGCACAUUGUGAGGCAACACGGCGUUGGAGGU